GGUUAAGCGACUAAGCGUACACGGUGGAUGCCCUGGCAGUCAGAGGCGAUGAAGGACGUGCUAAUCUGCGAUAAGCGUCGGUAAGGUGAUAUGAACCGUUAUAACCGGCGAUUUCCGAAUGGGGAAACCCAGUGUGUUUCGACACACUAUCAUUAACUGAAUCCAUAGGUUAAUGAGGCGAACCGGGGGAACUGAAACAUCUAAGUACCCCGAGGAAAAGAAAUCAACCGAGAUUCCCCCAGUAGCGGCGAGCGAACGGGGAGGAGCCCAGAGCCUGAAUCAGUGUGUGUGUUAGUGGAAGCGUCUGGAAAGGCGCGCGAUACAGGGUGACAGCCCCGUACACAAAAAUGCACAUGCUGUGAGCUCGAUGAGUAGGGCGGGACACGUGGUAUCCUGUCUGAAUAUGGGGGGACCAUCCUCCAAGGCUAAAUACUCCUGACUGACCGAUAGUGAACCAGUACCGUGAGGGAAAGGCGAAAAGAACCCCGGCGAGGGGAGUGAAAAAGAACCUGAAACCGUGUACGUACAAGCAGUGGGAGCACGCUUAGGCGUGUGACUGCGUACCUUUUGUAUAAUGGGUCAGCGACUUAUAUUCUGUAGCAAGGUUAACCGAAUAGGGGAGCCGAAGGGAAACCGAGUCUUAACUGGGCGUUAAGUUGCAGGGUAUAGACCCGAAACCCGGUGAUCUAGCCAUGGGCAGGUUGAAGGUUGGGUAACACUAACUGGAGGACCGAACCGACUAAUGUUGAAAAAUUAGCGGAUGACUUGUGGCUGGGGGUGAAAGGCCAAUCAAACCGGGAGAUAGCUGGUUCUCCCCGAAAGCUAUUUAGGUAGCGCCUCGUGAAUUCAUCUCCGGGGGUAGAGCACUGUUUCGGCAAGGGGGUCAUCCCGACUUACCAACCCGAUGCAAACUGCGAAUACCGGAGAAUGUUAUCACGGGAGACACACGGCGGGUGCUAACGUCCGUCGUGAAGAGGGAAACAACCCAGACCGCCAGCUAAGGUCCCAAAGUCAUGGUUAAGUGGGAAACGAUGUGGGAAGGCCCAGACAGCCAGGAUGUUGGCUUAGAAGCAGCCAUCAUUUAAAGAAAGCGUAAUAGCUCACUGGUCGAGUCGGCCUGCGCGGAAGAUGUAACGGGGCUAAACCAUGCACCGAAGCUGCGGCAGCGACACUAUGUGUUGUUGGGUAGGGGAGCGUUCUGUAAGCCUGUGAAGGUGUGCUGUGAGGCAUGCUGGAGGUAUCAGAAGUGCGAAUGCUGACAUAAGUAACGAUAAAGCGGGUGAAAAGCCCGCUCGCCGGAAGACCAAGGGUUCCUGUCCAACGUUAAUCGGGGCAGGGUGAGUCGACCCCUAAGGCGAGGCCGAAAGGCGUAGUCGAUGGGAAACAGGUUAAUAUUCCUGUACUUGGUGUUACUGCGAAGGGGGGACGGAGAAGGCUAUGUUGGCCGGGCGACGGUUGUCCCGGUUUAAGCGUGUAGGCUGGUUUUCCAGGCAAAUCCGGAAAAUCAAGGCUGAGGCGUGAUGACGAGGCACUACGGUGCUGAAGCAACAAAUGCCCUGCUUCCAGGAAAAGCCUCUAAGCAUCAGGUAACAUCAAAUCGUACCCCAAACCGACACAGGUGGUCAGGUAGAGAAUACCAAGGCGCUUGAGAGAACUCGGGUGAAGGAACUAGGCAAAAUGGUGCCGUAACUUCGGGAGAAGGCACGCUGAUAUGUAGGUGAAGUCCCUUGCGGAUGGAGCUGAAAUCAGUCGAAGAUACCAGCUGGCUGCAACUGUUUAUUAAAAACACAGCACUGUGCAAACACGAAAGUGGACGUAUACGGUGUGACGCCUGCCCGGUGCCGGAAGGUUAAUUGAUGGGGUCAGCGCAAGCGAAGCUCUUGAUCGAAGCCCCGGUAAACGGCGGCCGUAACUAUAACGGUCCUAAGGUAGCGAAAUUCCUUGUCGGGUAAGUUCCGACCUGCACGAAUGGCGUAAUGAUGGCCAGGCUGUCUCCACCCGAGACUCAGUGAAAUUGAACUCGCUGUGAAGAUGCAGUGUACCCGCGGCAAGACGGAAAGACCCCGUGAACCUUUACUAUAGCUUGACACUGAACAUUGAGCCUUGAUGUGUAGGAUAGGUGGGAGGCUUUGAAGUGUGGACGCCAGUCUGCAUGGAGCCGACCUUGAAAUACCACCCUUUAAUGUUUGAUGUUCUAACGUGGACCCGUGAUCCGGGUUGCGGACAGUGUCUGGUGGGUAGUUUGACUGGGGCGGUCUCCUCCUAAAGAGUAACGGAGGAGCACGAAGGUUGGCUAAUCCUGGUCGGACAUCAGGAGGUUAGUGCAAUGGCAUAAGCCAGCUUGACUGCGAGCGUGACGGCGCGAGCAGGUGCGAAAGCAGGUCAUAGUGAUCCGGUGGUUCUGAAUGGAAGGGCCAUCGCUCAACGGAUAAAAGGUACUCCGGGGAUAACAGGCUGAUACCGCCCAAGAGUUCAUAUCGACGGCGGUGUUUGGCACCUCGAUGUCGGCUCAUCACAUCCUGGGGCUGAAGUAGGUCCCAAGGGUAUGGCUGUUCGCCAUUUAAAGUGGUACGCGAGCUGGGUUUAGAACGUCGUGAGACAGUUCGGUCCCUAUCUGCCGUGGGCGCUGGAGAACUGAGGGGGGCUGCUCCUAGUACGAGAGGACCGGAGUGGACGCAUCACUGGUGUUCGGGUUGUCAUGCCAAUGGCACUGCCCGGUAGCUAAAUGCGGAAGAGAUAAGUGCUGAAAGCAUCUAAGCACGAAACUUGCCCCGAGAUGAGUUCUCCCUGACUCCUUGAGAGUCCUGAAGGAACGUUGAAGACGACGACGUUGAUAGGCCGGGUGUGUAAGCGCAGCGAUGCGUUGAGCUAACCGGUACUAAUGAACCGUGAGGCUUAACCUU
rnacentral:rRNA from 1 species